rnacentral:misc_RNA from 1 species
UCCGAGUUGACCCCGGCAGUCUCCCAUGAGUCCCCGGCAUAACCCGCUGGCAACAUGGAACGAGGGUUGCGCUCGUUGCGGGACUUAACCCAACAUCUCACGACACGAGCUGACGACAACCAUGCACCACCUGUGAACCCGCCCCAAAGGGGAAGGACCAUCUCUGGCCCGGUCGGGAACAUGUCAAGCCUUGGUAAGGUUCUGCGCGUUGCUUCGAAUUAAACCACAUGCUCCACCGCUUGUGCAGGCCCCCGUCAAUUUCUUUGAGUUUUAACCUUGCGGCCGUACUCCCCAGGCGGGGCGCUUAAUGCGUUAGCUACGGCACGGAAUCCGUGGAAAGACCCCACACCUAGCGCCCAACGUUUACGGCGUGGACUAC